rnacentral:lncRNA from 1 species
CCUACAGAGAAGACUCUUGGAAAGAAACCUGUGCUGCACUGGAGCUGAUGAUCUCCUGCCUAGAGCUUCCUGAAGAGGAUUGGAAAAGCCUGAGGAAGGUGUCACCAGGUAGAAGAAACCAGAAGUGUUUCCUGGGAAACAGUCAAAGAUAAUGCCUACUAAAUGCUUUCUACUUGAUGCUCUGAAGACAAAACUGAACUUGCACAGCUUUUCCACUCCCAGCAGUCUCGGGAUCUGCUGAAGUAAUGCUUCUAGGAAGACAGCUUUCAUUUCAAUAAAAAAUUGUAAUACAAUUAUAGUUAUG